CCCUACGGGGGGCAGCAGUGGGGAAUAUUGCACAAUGGGGGAAACCCUGAUGCAGCAACGCCGCGUGAGUGAAGAAGUAUUUCGAUAUGUAAAGCUCUAUCAGCAGGGAAGAAGAUGACGGUACCUGAUUAAGAAGCCCCGGCUAAAUACGUGCCAGCAGCCGCGGUAAUACGUAGGGGGCGAGCGUUAUCCGGAUUCACUGGGUGUAAAGGGAGCGUAGACGGCCAAGCAAGCCAGGGGUGAAAGCCCGGGGCCCAACCCCGGGACUGCCCUUGGAACUGCAUGGCUGGAGUGCGGGAGGGGCG
rnacentral:rRNA from 1 species